rnacentral:rRNA from 1 species
AAUAUUGGACAAUGGGGGCAACCCUUACCCAGCCAUGCAGCGUGUGUGCAGAAGGUCUUCGUCUUGUAAAGCACUUUAAGUUCGGGGGAAGGGCUUUAGGUUAUUACCCUGAAGGUUUGUCGUUACCAACUUAAUAAUCUCCGGCUAACUCUGUGCCAGCAGCCGCGGUAAUACAGCGGGUUCAAGCGUUAAUCGGAAUUACUGGGCGUAAAGGGCGCGGAGGUGGUUCAGUAAGAUGGGUGGGAAAUCCCCGGGCUUAACAUGGGAACUGCUUUCAUUACUGAUGAGCUAGAGUACGGUAGAGGGUAGUGGAAUUUCCUGUGUAGCGGUGAAAUGCGUAGAUAUAGGGAGGAACACCAGUGGCGAAGGCGACUACCUGGACUGAUACUGACACUGAGGUGCGAAAGCGUGGGGAGCAAAC